UACAGAGGGUGCGAGCGUUAAUCGGAAUUACUGGGCGUAAAGCGUGCGCAGGCGGUCUGUUAAGACCGAUGUGAAAUCCCCGGGCUUAACCUGGGAACUGCAUUGGUGACUGGCAGGCUUUGAGUGUGGCAGAGGGAGGUAGAAUUGCCCAGUGUAGCGGUGAAAUGCGUAGAUAAUUGGGAGGAACACCAGUGGCGAAGGCGGCAUUACUGGACCGGUUCUGACGCUGAGGCCGCGAAAGCGUGGGGAGCAACGGG
rnacentral:rRNA from 1 species